CAUUAUCUGGUGUCAUCUGGUGACAUCAGGGCUGCUAAUAGAACUGCACUUUACAGAUUCAUGAUUUCUAUUUGAAUCUAGCAAAAGAACCCUAGGCUGAUUGGCAACACUACCACUCUGGGAGGCUGAAGCAGGAGAAUUGCUCUCUAUUCUUCAGCUACUUUCGGAUCUAUCCAGUACAUCCUUGCCAUAGUCUACAGAGUAGGUUCUGAAUAUAUCUUUGCAGAAUAAUGUCAUCAGCUAAUUGCAGAAACCCAUCCAUCUUCGGUAAACUUUUCUCACAUGGGGUGCAGUGGGAUGCACACAAUAUACCUGGUGAAGACAUCGUCAAUCAAGUGCAAUGUUGGCCCCAACCAGAAGUUCUCACUGAAUCAGUGCUUGUUGCUCACUGACAAUGUGCAAGGAGUUUGUUAUAGUACUGCUUGCUUUGGUAGAUGAAGGUAAAUAAUGUCCAUCAGUCUUUUCAAAAAACAAAGCAUUCAAAGGAACUUAAAAUAUAGAAUUCAUUCAACAAGGAGAUUACUACAGAAAUCUGACCUAGAUAAAGGAAACUAAAGGAUGGCAAAGUGCCCAGGGAUUUGCACCAGAGGGGAGGUGGUACCAACCCUGAAAGGGCAAUGGGAGGGAUCAAGGUUAUCAGAGACAGAUGAGCUGAAGAAAGGACAGAGGGCACUGAGAGGAGCUCUCUCCACAGAGGAAUACAGUCACCACCAAAGCCCCCAUGGGUGGAGAGUAAAUACUCUAAGAUUUCUCUUUCUCUCCCUUUCCCCAAUUUCCAACCAAUGCUUCCCAUUGGCGGAGCCCAACCAGAAGUCAGAUAACAAGGGAGCCCAGGUGAAGAGGUUCGUAGUUAUCAGCCUUGUGGGGCACACUGCAAAGUAGAGAAAGUCAGAGACUGAUUUCUCUCUUUUUUCCUGGAGAAUAUUAAAUAAAAAAAAAAAAAAGAAGGAAAUAAAUAAAAGGAAAGCACUAGCUCAUCCAAGCC
rnacentral:lncRNA from 1 species